rnacentral:tRNA from 1 species
AACCCUGUAGCUCGAUUGGUAGAGUGCUAGACUGGCAUGCCAGAGGACCCGGGUUCAAACCCCAGCAGAGGCA